UACGAAGGGGGCUAGCGUUGCUCGGAAUCACUGGGCGUAAAGCGCACGUAGGCGGACUCUUAAGUCGGUGGUGAAAUCCUGGAGCUCAACUCCAGAACUGCCUUCGAUACUGGGAGUCUCGAGUUCGGGAGAGGUGAGUGGAACUGCGAGUGUAGAGGUGAAAUUCGUAGAUAUUCGCAAGAACACCAGUGGCGAAGGCGGCUCACUGGUCCGGUACUGACGCUGAGGUGCGAAAGCGUGGGGAGCAAACAGGG
rnacentral:rRNA from 1 species